GCCUUUUCUAGGGCCGCUCCCGCGGCAUAUGGAUGUUCCCAGGCUAGGGGUCCAAUCGGAGCUGUUAAAGAUAGAGAAAAGAAAAAGAAAACCCCAGAAGUUCGUGUUGUGGCUCAGCAGUAAUGAGCCUGAUUAGUAUCCAUGAGGAUGUGGGUUUGAUCCCUGGCCUCGCUCAGUGGGUUAAGGAUCUGGUGUUGCUGUGACCUGUGGUAUAGGUCGCAGAUGCAGCUCGGAUCCUGUGUUGCUGUGGCUGUGACGUAGGCUGCCAGUUGCAGCUCCAAUUCAACCCCUAGCCUGGGAAAUUUCAUGUGCUGUGGGUGUGGCCCUAAAAAGCAAAAAAAGAAAAGAAGAAAAGAAAGAAAAAAGCAAACCCCAAAAUGGUUGGUGGUAAAGAUGGAGAGAGUGGCUGUAGCAGGCAGGAGAAGCAGGACACAUCCUGAAUGUGCGGAAGGGUCCAAAGCUCAGAGUCAGGUGCAGCUGGAUGUAGCUGGAGGUAGUGUAACGAAAGCACUGCGUGACUAUGGGCGAGUCAUUCGACCCCUAGGAGCCUCGUCCUCUGCUGUCAAUGAACAGGAAAGCACCCAGCCGUGCCUUGCCCAUUGUCGGCACUCAGUAAUUGCAUCUGAAUCAACACUUGCUGGAAUCUAUGCACACUACACGAGACUGCUACAGACCCAGGAUUUGCGUGUGGGUCUCUAAGCUCAUUUCAUUAGCCAGCAGUACCUCAAAAACACCUUCUGUUUCUUUGCCAUUUUACUGGGAAGAAGAGCAUGCCUCCCUCCAACCUCAUCCAGAAUGAGUGGCAAAGAGCCCCAGGGAUGAAGUCAGGUUGCUGAUGCUGAGAUAUCACUGCCACCUGGUGGCAGCAUACCUAAAUCAGUGGGGGGGGGGGACUGGCAAAAAGGGAAAACUGCUAGUGCCUCACACUUGCCUAAGACACAAGUGAGUGCUUCCACCAUGAGAACAGAGGUCACCAUCUACCACCUGGCCACUCCCUGCUGCAUCCUCGAUACCCUGCUUUGAGUUUCCUGGAUGCUUGUUGGUUUCCUUUUUUUUUUUCGACUUAAGUGAUUAAAUGUAACAACUGUAAAUAAAGCAAAUGCCACCAAAAGGAAGUGCAGACGUCCAGGUCCUUAUGAGAACUGUUAGAAGCCCAGGGCUCCCUAACUGGGUACUUGCCCAACUGACUGUCUGAACCCCACAUGCAAUCCUUGCCAUCUGAGUUAGCACAUUUCAAACCUGUCCCUUUCCAAUCAUCCUUCCAGCCGUCGCGGUCUCCUGAAAUUCGGCUUUCAGUGCUCACCAUCACACUGCCCCCUUACAGCCGAAGAAUAUUCACACAUGGUAUAAGCACUGCCUCUGAGGUGCUCCCAAAGAUUCCAGGACAUGGCUGAAGAAACUGGGGGCCAGGGCAAGGGGGAAAGCAGAGUUCUGAGGAAUCAUGAAAGACCCCCCGCCUCUUCCUAGACCCUGAUCUUGGCCACCUUUUCAAAGGCGUCUCCCCAACCUGUCAGAUGGGCAGUAUGUCUCUAAGGACUUUCUGUCCCAUCCUGAGCUAAGAAAAAGCAAGGUCGGCACCUGAUGAGGACGCACAAGGAGAAACACAAGGAGGGCGGAGGAAGGAGAGUCGCCCGAUAGCUGCACCCAGGGCAGUGAACGGGCCUCUUCUUUUGGGGAGCCCUUAGCACCACACAGCACCCCAUAUUCCUCCCCUCUUCCUCUCCAGUGCUCUCCCAG
rnacentral:lncRNA from 1 species